UCAGUAGGAUCGCAACAUUCCUAAUUGCGGUGCAACCCUUCCUUUUAUUUUGACGUUUUUUGCGAAUUUUUUGAUCUUGGAAGCAUCGCAUUUUCUAAAAUACCUCGAGUUUAAUACUAAUUAUAGUGUGUAAAUCUAUAAAUAAAAACAGUAGUUCAUGGAGGACAACAAAUCGACUUGAAAUGUCUCGCAAAGCUCAACCUAAUUGCUUGCGGUACUUUUUGUCGGCGCUGCGAUCAGACAGCUCGGGCUCUGCCACAGUGGAGGAGCUUGUACGAGCCCUUGUAGAAGUGGGAAACUAUGAGAAAUCGUUAGCCUCGGAGACUGUGCAAAAUGCCAUACACGAUAAGCUGCUGAAGCCGGCAAUAGCAAACAACGCUGGGUCAUCGCGUGUUCUCCGCCUACUGCGAUUUCCGAAAAUAGACGAAAUAAAGAACGAUGUCUCCCAUGACUUCUAUUGCUUUGAGUGCCACUUGCCUGGCUCAUUGACGCAUUGCCGUCAAUGCCCACGCUCAUUUCAUCGUCUAUGCUUUCGCAAAGAUCCAGAAAGACCCAACUAUCCAGUACCUUCCGGAAAAUUUCAAAAGAAUCGUCCACCAGCAUUCAGCUCUGAUACAGAGACUGACUCUGAUGCAGAAGGCACUGUACACGGAUCUACAUCUUUUGGCUAUGAGAGCGAUGUGCGUGCUUCAUCUUCCUUGCAACAACAGGAUCUAAGUUCAAUAAAUUGUUGGCCGCAGCAACGAUUUCUAGAAGAAGUUACAGUUGACAGCACAUCAUCGCCUGUGCAAGCAGUUUUUCACCGAGCGGAGGGAGUAUCAAGUGCAACCAAUUUAAAUAGCGGCAACAAAAUGGACGUAGAUGAGUUUGAUACAGAGUCCAAAACCAAAGUAGAAGUGGUUUGUUUGGGCGAAGUUCGUCCACCCACGCGGAAACGUCGGCGGACAAUUACCUCAAAUGUGUCGUAUAAAAGUGAAAUGUGCCCAAGUGAAGAAACAGAGCCUGAUUUAGAUUUGUGUACAUGCUGUCGUUUGUUAAAAACAGCAGAGCUGCGCCAUCCACCCAAUAUGCAACCAGACGAACUAUGUUAUCUGAUAGAUUUUACAUUUGAGCGGAAUCGCUCUUGGGUUGCACACGAUGUAUUAAGCUAUUUCGAAUCGACAAAAUUACCAAGCCAAUUGAUAUCGAUUGUUUCGAAAUUGCUCUUUAAAUUCCCUGAUAAGAGUCUUGACGGCAUAUCAGCUAAACUUAAAUCGUUGCAGUAUAAUCUGCUAACUGAAUUUUUUGUGGACAUCCUCGACUUGCAGCAUAAUAUAGGCAUCUUUUUUGGCCCUAAUGGUACGGAUAUGGAGGCUUCGAAAUGGUUGGUGCGUGACAUAGGAUACGAUUUGGCUGAAAUCCGUCGUUGUCCUGACUGUUUUCGUCAUUCACACGAAAAACAUUCAAGUGUUUGGUUUGCUAAGCCAUGCGUUCAACGGCAUGAAUUGGUUUUUGCCAAGCAUAGUGGUUUCUCCUAUUGGCCUGCAAAAGUUAUACGUCUUCUGCCAAAUAAUAAGUAUGAUGUCCGUUUCUUUGGAGGCAAUCAUUCGCGAGCGCUCAUCGAAUCGCGUUUGAUUCGCUCAAUCGACACAGAUAUUAAGUCGUUAAAAAUUGGUAAUAAACCGGCUAUUAAAAAAGCUCUGGAGGAAUUGCGCAUACAUCAGGUUCUGUCCGCAUAUCCGCCUAGUAUAUUUUCUUUUCACGCAAACAAAAGCGAAAUGGAGCAAAUCAUAAGAAACGCUUUGCAGAGAACAGCAGAUCAAUUCAUGGUAAACUCAUCUAAGGGAAGAAAGCUUCCGACACGUCGUCAAACAAUUUGUAAUACAAUGUCAACAGUCAGAAUGGACGCUUUUUUGGAUAUCUCAGGCGAUGUCAUAUCGUUGCCCGGGGCGGAUCCUCCGAUACUAAGUGAUAGCGGAUUUCUUAACGAUACAGAGACUAGAUUAAGGGAAAAAAGAGCUCAUGGCAAUCUAAAGAAGGCACCGAAACGAUUAACACGUUCCGCCAAUACAUUAGUGAGUGCUGCAGAUCUUAAACAGGUACAAGAUCAACUUGAUGAGGCCUUAAAGUUGGUUUCAGCAACACAGAGGAAGAAUGAAAAGUUGCUUGCAAACAUAGAAAAACUUAAGGAAUCGAUAAAGAAACACGAACAUGAAAAGAAAAUUCUUAAGCGAAAGCAAUGGUGUUAUUGGUGUCUCAAUGAAGCGAUAUACUUGUGUUGUUUUCGUGCUGCAUAUUGUUCGCAAGUUUGCCAAUCACGUCACUGGAAGGAUGGACAUAGUAAAGUUUGUAGGAAUCAAACAGAUCAACGCCAAGCUACUUCCACAACAUGAAAUUGCAAUAGAAACGGGUCUUCCAUUGUUAAGUUUUUAAGCAAUUUUUUAUAAUUGCUUUGACCAAGUUGUGCCCAUAUUAAGUUUUGCUGAAUUACUCUUAAACAGAGGACCGAUCGGGUUUAACUCUUCGCACACAUGCGGUAAACAUCACUAAAAAGCCAAGCAAACAAAUCAAAAGAUCACGGAUUGACUUCAAAUAUACAACGUUAUAUACAUAAAUAAUAAUAUGGAUACUAUGUAGAUUUAGUGAAAACAUAUUAAUAAAAAGAAAUGUGAAUUGAAUUUAAAAAAUAAAGAGGUUGAUAAACGACAAAAAGAACGCAUGCAAA